rnacentral:rRNA from 1 species
AUUGAACGCUGGCGGCAGGCCUAACACAUGCAAGUCGAGCGAGCGGCGGACGGGUGAGUAAUGUCUGGGAAACUGCCUGAUGGAGGGGGAUAACUACUGGAAACGGUAGCUAAUACCGCAUACCAUCAGAUGUGCCCAGAUGGGAUUAGCUAGUAGGUGGGGUAACGGCUCACCUAGGCGACGCUCCCUAGCUGGUCUGAGAGGAUGACCAGCCACACUGGAACUGAGACCCGGUCCAGACUCCUACGGGAGGCAGCAGUGGGGAAUAUUGCACAAUUGGCGCAAGUCUGAUGCAGCCAUGCCGCGUGGUUGAAGAAGGCCUUCGUGUUGUAAAGCACUUUCAGCGGGGAGGCGUUACCCGCAGAAGAAGCACCGGCUAACUCCGUGCCAGCCGCCGCGGUAAUUC